rnacentral:lncRNA from 1 species
UUGAUCAGAGCUUUCGAAAAACAGGUGUGGGUACUUAGAUCGCAUAUCCGCCUCGGCUUCCCAAGUCGCACCCUCAAUGGAUUGGUUUCGCCACAAUACUUUGACCAAUGAAACUUCUUUGUUCCUUAGUCUUCGGACUUGAAAAUCAAGGACUUCAACAGGGAUCUCAUCAAAGGAAAGACUAUCCUGAACUUCAGCACUCACAGAAGAGUCCACUACCGUGGAAUCGCUAACAUGACUUCUAAGCAUGGAAACAUGAAAUACUGGAUGAACAGCAGACAACUCAAAAGGCAACUCAACCUCAUAAGCUACCUUACCAACACGGCUAAGAAUUCUGUACGGGCCCACAUAACGGGGACUAAGCUUCCCCUUCUUUCCGAAUAUCUUUACCCCUUUUAUGUGUGAAAUUUUCAAAUACACCAAGUCACCAACUUCGAACUCAAGGUCUCUUCUCCUAACAUCUGCAUACGACUUCUGAUGACUCUAUGCGGUUUUUAACCUUUCUCUAAUCAACUUGACUUUUUCUAUAGCCUCGAACACCAAAUCAGGACCACUCACAGCAG